rnacentral:SRP_RNA from 1 species
CCCUGGUCCUCCCGCAACACUAACUUGUGAACUCGGUCAGAUCCGGAAGGAAGCAGCCGCAGCAGGC